rnacentral:rRNA from 1 species
UACGUAGGGUGCAAGCGUUGUCCGGAAUUAUUGGGCGUAAAGAGCUCGUAGGCGGUCUGUCGCGUCGGCUGUGAAAACUCGGGGCUCAACUCCGAGCUUGCAGUCGAUACGGGCAGGCUAGAGUUCGGCAGGGGAGACUGGAAUUCCUGGUGUAGCGGUGAAAUGCGCAGAGUAUCGGGAGGAACACCGGUGGCGAAGGCGGUUCUCUGGGCCUUACC